rnacentral:rRNA from 1 species
GACGAACGCUGGCGGCGUGCUUAACACAUGCAAGUCGAGCGGUAAGGCCCUUUCGGGGGUACGACGAGCGGCGAACGGGUGAGUAACACGUGGGUGACCUGCCCUCAGCUCUGGGAUAAGCCCGGGAAACUGGGUCUAAUACCGGAUAUGACUUCAUGACGCAUGUUGUGGAGUGGAAAGCCUUGUGCGGCUGAGGAUGGGCCCGCGGCCUAUCAGCUUGUUGGUGGGGUGAGGCCUACCAAGGCGACGACGGGUAGCCGGCCUAAGAGGGCGACCGGCCACACUGGGACUGAGAUACGGCCCAGACUCCUACGGGAGGCAGCAGUGGGGAAUCUUGCGCAAUGGGCGAAAGCCUGACGCAGCGACGCCGCGUGA